ensembl:lncRNA
CUCUCUUAUCACACAUUGGACCCACAGUUAUUCUAUAAUCCGGAUCGUUCGAUGUCAUAACAUGGACGUGAAGAAGGAAUGGAAAGGGAACUGCGUCGGAUCGCGAUGCAUUUUGGGUAUGUUCUGAUUCUUAACUAAACAGCGUUAUUAGUCUCUCGUCUAAUGAGCUGAAUGGAGCAGAUCAAGCAGUUGAACUGAUUAAACAUUUAUUUACUUUUACAGCAUUUGGCAGAUGCCUCAGCCAGAGCGACUUACAUUUUAUCUCAUUUAUACGACUUAAGGGUCUCGUUCAAGGGCCCAGAAGGAUCAGCUUGGUGGUGCUGGGAUUCGAACUCACUUCCUUCCAAUCAGAAGUCUGGUGUCUUAACGACUGCGCCGCUACCACUCCAAAACUCAGAGGAAAUGCUGAGGACGCGGUGACAAAGGAGCAUCGAACAGCCUUGUUAGAGCAGCACAUGAGAUAGCAAAGGGGAAAGCCAACAAGGGGUGCCUUAAAAACCGUAUCAGAAUGGACUUUAAGGUGGCGAUGGUGGUUCAACAAAGAUGCAUUUAAAAAUGUCUCUUGAGAUGAUGCUAGAAAUUAGACCAAUGGAAAUGGCAAGGGAGGUCAACAAGUGUGUGAAACUACCCUGAAGAUGGUGACUGAACCGAACCUGAGGAAAAGCGGUACUUACCACGAUGAUGGAAAUUAAACCAAGGGUGAAUGGUUACAAAAUGUCGACCAGGGUUUGUUCAAACAUCCUUAAGAUUAAACCUUUUAAGAAAUGAUGAGUAAAGCGGACAUGGGUGUAUUUAGAACAGGAUUGGGAUGACCCUUAAGAUGGGGAUUCGAUCAAGAGGAAAUGCUGAGGGAAAGUCGACAAGGGCAUGAUAGGAAACAGUAAUGGACCGGCUUGUAAAAUACUGACGGGGAUUAAACCUUCAAAUGUUGAAGGAAAGUUGCAAAUCAUUGAGCAGCUGUUUGAGAGGGAGUGAAACUGAGGGGAAAUGGCGAGGGAAGGGUGUGGUACAAACUGUAUCGGACUGGUCCUUACUCUUUAAGGGGGAAAUGGUGAGAAGUUAACAUGUUGAAAACAGUUUUUGAUAUAUCGACAAGGAAUCAAAAUGACUGGGCACACUAUUAGAACAGUGGCAUGUUCUCCCCGUGCUGCGGGGGUUUCCUCCGGGUACUCCGGUUUCCUCCCCCAGUCCAAACACAUGCACGGUAGGCUGAUUGGCGUGUCUAAAGUGUCCGUAGUGUAUGAAUGGGUGUGUGAGUGUGUGUGUGAUUGUGCCCUGCGAUGGACUGGCACCCUGCCCAGGGUGUACCCCGCCUUGUGCCCGAUGCUCCCUGGGAUAGGCUCCAGGUUCCCCGUGACCCUAAAAGGAUAAAGCGGUAUAGAAGAUGGAUGGAUGGAUGAAACCAUGGAGAAAUGAUGAGGAGAAAAGUCUAACAUGAUGACGGGACGUCCUACUAUGUCCCACGGCGUCCAAAACCGCAUCUGGAGAACUAGACGUGGUUCUGGGAAGAAGUAUACACUAAAGAUUUUAGGUGAGACAGACUUCUCUGAUGAUCACGGGUUUUCUCUGUCAAAAAACAUCAACAUUUUGACUUAUUAACUGAUCUGUUUGAAUCCUUGAAGUUUUCUUGCAGUUCAGAUUCGUCUGUUAGGUUGCCAGAGCGGCUUUCUGUUUAAAAAC